CCUACGGGAGGCAGCAGUAGGGAAUCUUCCACAAUGGACGAAAGUCUGAAGGAGCAACGCCGCGUGAGUGAAGAAGGUCUUCGGAUCGUAAAACUCUGUUGUUAGAGAAGAAAGAGCGUGCGAGUAACUGUUCACGCUUCGACGGUAUCUAACCAGAAAGCCACGGCUAACUACGUGCCAGCAGCCGCGGUAAUACGUAGGUGGCAAGCGUUAUCCGGAUUUAUUGGGCGUAAAGGGAACGCAGUCGGUCUUUUAAGUCUGAUGUGAAAGCCUUCGGCUUAACCGGAGAAGUGCAUUGGAAACUGGGAGACUUGAGUGCAGAAGAGGAGAGUGGAACUCCAGGUGUAGCGGUGAAAUGCGUAGAUAUAUGGAAGAACACCAGUGGCGAAAGCAGCUCUCUGGUCUGUAACUGACGCUGAGGCUCGAAAGCGUGGGUAGCAAACAGGAUUAGAUACCCGUGUAGUC
rnacentral:rRNA from 1 species